GGUGCGUAGGUGGCUAGGUAAGUCAGAGGUGAAAGCCCGGCGCUUAACGUCGGAAUUGCCUUUGAUACUGCUUAGCUUGAAUUGGGUUGAGGUAGGCGGAAUGAGUCAUGUAGCGGUGAAAUGCAUAGAUAUGACUUAGAACACCGAUUGCGAAGGCAGCUUACUGGACCUUGAUUGACACUGAGGCACGAAAGCGUGGGGAGCGAACA
rnacentral:rRNA from 1 species